GGAAUUUUAGUUUUAGUAAUUUUUUUUUUUCGUUUCUUUUUUUUUGCCAUUUUAUAAAUUUAUUGUGAAUAAACAAAAGCUUAAUUGAAAUGCUGUUAUAACAAAAUCAUCAUUGAAUUCUCUACACUUCACGACGAUUUAAAGGAACUUUACUAUGUAACAUGUAGAUAUAUAUUUAUUACAUUUGUAACCUUUAUUUUUUAAUUCUUUUGUUAUUUGUGUGUUUAAAAAAAAAUUUUGAAAAACAAUCUAAAUACUUUUUAAUAUCAACUUUUUAAAGAAAUUGAUAACUUACUUUUAAA